rnacentral:rRNA from 1 species
CCUACGGGAGGCAGCAGUGAGGAAUAUUGGUCAAUGGGCGCGAGCCUGAACCAGCCAAGUAGCGUGAAGGAUGACUGCCCUACGGGUUGUAAACCUCUUUUAUAAAGGAAUAAAGUGAGGCACGUGUGCCUUUUUGUAUGUACUUUAUGAAGAAGGAUCGGCUAACUCCGUGCCAGCAGCCGCGGUAAUACGGAGGAUCCGAGCGUUAUCCGGAUUUAUUGGGUUUAAAGGGAGCGUAGAUGGGUUGUUAAGUCAGUUGUGAAAGUUUGCGGCUCAACCGUAAAAUUGCAAUUGAUACUGGCAGACUUGAGUACAGUAGAGGUAGGCGGAAUUCGUGGUGUAGCGGUGAAAUGCUUAGAUAUCACGAAGAACACCGGUGGCGAAGGCAGCUUACUAGACUGCCACUGACGUUGAUGCUCGAAAGUGUGGGUAUCAAACAGGAUUAGAUACCCGUGUAGUC